AUGCUCCCGACGAACAAUGCGACCGACAUGCGCCCCGCUAUAAUUAUCGAAUCGAACUUGACCCGCGCGACCCUCACCAGUGCGAGUGUGAACGCCGCCGUCGGCCCACAUCUUGUCGCCGCUACAAUCGAACUGUCUCGAUCGAACACUUCGACGAACGACCCGUCAUCGAUUCAUCGAAAUAUCGACUCUGCGAAAACGAUAAACGCGGCGGCUGACCCCGGUGCUGGACUAAUGGUGAUCUGGUGGCAGCUGUACUCGAAUCCCUGUAGUUUUCAGCCCAAGCCAAUGUUCGUUUUCACCACGACUCUCUUCUUCGCUGUACUUUCGUUCUACUUAAGGAUAACGGAGACGGGCGAAGCAGGAGUGGUCUUCACGUUGGUGGACUCGACGACCGCGGAGCUGCAGAAGCAUGCGAACAUUGUGGCGCCGACCCUGAGGAUCCCGGCGCAGAACGCCUCCCUCUUCAACGGGACCCCCCUGAGCGGGCCGACGUCGAAUGGGUCGCAGGACCACCAGGGCCACCCCGUACAGCGCCCGGUCUACGUCGUUCGCGCCGAGCCCAAAGUCGUCGGCAAACAUGCCGUCCCCGAGGUCCCCGAGCCGGAACCCGAGAGGAACGACACCGGCCCUGCGGUCCCUCCGCCCGUCCCUGACAACCCUCGCCGCCGGCCCCGCCCGCCGGGGACCACGACAACGUCAUCAUCGUCCCCCAGGUGGAGCCCGCCGCGGCCCAGUCCCACGAGGAUAUCCCGUCCUUCAACGAGUGGGCCCAGAAGCAGUUGGCUGAGGCUGAAAAGAAGAAGGUAUGUCUCCGCCUUAUCGGAAAUAAUAUUUUUUAUGCGGUGAGUAGGGUUGCCGGCGGCAGAGGCGGAUCUAGCAAUUUGGCAACAUUGGAUUCCCUCCAUUUAAACCCAUGUUAAAUAAUCGAUUCUCGUCGGAGCACCUGGCCCCCGCCAUGAAUCGAUACAUUUCCAUAGGUUUAAAUGAGGAAAACAAUGUUGCAAAUUUGCUGGAUCCGCGCGCCAAUGCAACGAUAGGCCUUGUCUCCACUGGACGUUUGAUGGGAUUAGUUCCAGGGAAAAAUCCCACUUG
rnacentral:lncRNA from 1 species